rnacentral:rRNA from 1 species
UACGAAAGGUGCAAGCGUUACUCGGAAUCACUGGGCGUAAAGCGCACGUAGGCGGACUCGCAGGUCAAUUGUGAAAUACCUGGGCUCAACCCGGGAACUGCAGUUGAAACUGCUUGUCUUGAAUACCUGAGAGGGUGGGGGAAUACCUGGUGGAGAAGUGAAAUUCGUAGAGAUCAGGUGGAACACCGGAGGCGAAGGCGCCUGCCUGGCAGUGUAUUGACGCUGAGGUGCGAAAGUGCGGGGAGCAAACAGG